GUUUAUAUAGCUUAUUUUAUUAGAGUAUAUCAGUGAAGUUGAUAGGGAAAUUUUGUAUUUGUAAAUA
rnacentral:tRNA from 1 species